rnacentral:piRNA from 1 species
AGCCUGUUAACGCUGGUCUAGCUGCCGGACA